CCUACGGGUGACUGCAGUGAGGAAUAUUGGUCAAUGGACGAGAGUCUGAACCAGCCAAGUAGCGUGAAGGAUGACUGCCCUAUGGGUUGUAAACUUCUUUUAUAUGGGAAUAAAAUGUUCCACGUGUGGGAUUUUGUAUGUACCAUAUGAAUAAGGAUCGGCUAACUCCGUGCCAGCAGCCGCGGUAAUACGGAGGAUCCGAGCGUUAUCCGGAUUUAUUGGGUUUACAGGGAGCGUAGGUGGAUUGUUAAGUCAGUUGUGAAAGUUUGCGGCUCAACCGUAAAAUUGCAGUUGAAACUGGCAGUCUUGAGUACAGUAGAGGUGGGCGGAAUUCGUGGUGUAGCGGUGAAAUGCGUAGAUAUCACGAAGAACUCCGAUUGCGAAGGCAGUUCACUGGACUGCAACUGACACUGAGGCUCGAAAGUGUGGGUAUCAAACAGGAUUAGAUACCCCUGUAGUC
rnacentral:rRNA from 1 species